rnacentral:rRNA from 1 species
AGUCGAGCGGUAACAGAUCUAGCUUGCUAGAUGCUGACGAGCGGCGGACGGGUGAGUAAUGCAUAGGAAUCUGCCCGGUAGUGGGGGAUAACCUGGGGAAACCCAGGCUAAUACCGCAUACGUCCUACGGGAGAAAGGGGGCUUCGGCUCCCGCUAUUGGAUGAGCCUAUGUCGGAUUAGCUCGUUGGUGAGGUAAAGGCUCACCAAGGCAACGAUCCGUAGCUGGUCUGAGAGGAUGAUCAGCCACAUCGGGACUGAGACACGGCCCGAACUCCUACGGGAGGCAGCAGUGGGGAAUAUUGGACAAUGGGGGCAACCCUGAUCCAGCCAUGCCGCGUGUGUGAAGAAGGCCUUCGGGUUGUAAAGCACUUUCAGCGAGGAAGAACGCCUAGUGGUUAAUACCCAUUAGGAAAGACAUCACUCGCAGAAGAAGCACCGGCUAACUCCGUGCCAGCAGCCGCGGUAAUACGGAGGGUGCAAGCGUUAAUCGGAAUUACUGGGCGUAAAGCGCGCGUAGGUGGCUUGAUAAGCCGGUUGUGAAAGCCCCGGGCUCAACCUGGGAACGGCAUCCGGAACUGUCAGGCUAGAGUGCAGGAGAGGAAGGUAGAAUUCCCGGUGUAGCGGUGAAAUGCGUAGAGAUCGGGAGGAAUACCAGUGGCGAAGGCGGCCUUCUGGACUGACACUGACACUGAGGUGCGAAAGCGUGGGUAGCAAACAGGAUUAGAUACCCUGGUAGUCCACGCCGUAAACGAUGUCGACCAGCCGUUGGGUGCCUAGAGCACUUUGUGGCGAAGUUAACGCGAUAAGUCGACCGCCUGGGGAGUACGGCCGCAAGGUUAAAACUCAAAUGAAUUGACGGGGGCCCGCACAAGCGGUGGAGCAUGUGGUUUAAUUCGAUGCAACGCGAA